AGCUACGAGUUGAUACGCGGGAAAAAACAGAAACCUGGAGAUGGAGGACAGCUCUAGUGACGGCGAUUCUACGGCUGACAAAUCUGCAAAAAGAACACAUAGAAUUGAAGAAUUUGUUCACAAAAUAUAGUCAGGGAGGAUGAACAUAAGCAAGAAAACCAGAAAGAAAAAGUCUACACCAGUUCCUAAG